GAUGAACGCUAGCGGCAGGCCUAAUACAUGCAAGUCGAACGGGAUCCAGAUCAAAGCUUGCUUUGGUCUGGUGAGAGUGGCGCACGGGUGCGUAACGCGUGAGCAACCUACCCUUGUCAGGGGGAUAGCCCGGCGAAAGUCGGAUUAAUACCGCAUGACAUCAUUGAGAGGCAUCUUUCGAUGAUCAAAGAUUUAUCGGACAAGGAUGGGCUCGCGUGACAUUAGCUAGUUGGUAAGGUAACGGCUUACCAAGGCUGCGAUGUCCAGGGGCUCUGAGAGGAGAAUCCCCCACACUGGUACUGAGACACGGACCAGACUCCUACGGGAGGCAGCAGUAAGGAAGAUUGGUCAAUGGACGGAAGUCUGAACCAGCCAUGCCGCGUGCAGGAAGACGGCCCUAGGGGUUGUAAACUGCUUUUAUACGGGAACAAACGUCGGUACGUGUACCGGUCUGAGUGUACCGUAAGAAUAAGGAUCGGCUAACUCCGUG
rnacentral:rRNA from 1 species